GAGGGUAGGGCUGGGCCAGGUGAGGAGUCGCCCGGGCUCCGGGAGCGCCAAACGGAAGAGGAGAAGUAAGGCUGGGCGGACGCGGGCCUGGACCCGCGGGCGGAAAGAGGAAAGAGGCAGGUGUCCCGGGCCCCCGGUCAGGCCGGAGCGCCGAGGCAACGGACGCCUCGGAUCCCCCCACCCCGAGAAUGAGUCUUUCCUAGGAGGUGGAUCGCCGAGGAGCCGGGCUCUAUCCCUGAUCUGGGAAGAUUCCACAUGCCUCAGAGCAACUAAGCUGG